rnacentral:misc_RNA from 1 species
UCCGACUUAACGCCGGCAGUCUCGUAUGAAAAAUACAACAUACGAUAAGGGUUGCGCUCGUUGACGGACUUAACCGUACACUUCACAGCACGAGCUGACGACAGCCGUGCAACACCUGUCUUCUGGUUCCUUGCGGCACGGUCCUAUUUCUAGGACUUUCCAGAGAUGUCAAGCCUCGGUAAGGUGCUUCGCUUACCAUCGAAUUAAACCACAUGCUCCACCACUUGUGCGGGUCCCCGUCAAUUCCUUUGAGUUUUAGCCUUGCGGCCGUACUCCCCAGGCGGCUGACUUAACGCGUUAGCUACGGUACACAACGGGUCGAUACGCCAUAUACCUAGUCAGCAUCGUUUAGGGCGUGGACUAC